rfam:Zootermopsis nevadensis contig34833, whole genome shotgun sequence.
ACCACGGUGGUCUAGCGGUUAGGACGCUGGCCUUGUAAUCCUGGGGUCUCGGGUUCGAUUCCCGGCGGUG